rnacentral:rRNA from 1 species
AUUGAACGCUGGCGGAAUGCUUUACACAUGCAAGUCGAGCGGCAGCGCGGGGGCAACCCUGGCGGCGAGCGGCGAACGGGUGAGUAAUACAUCGGAACAUGUCCAGUCGUGGGGGAUAACCUGGCGAAAGCCCGGCCAAUACCGCAUGAGCUCUGGCGAGGAACGCGGGGGACCGUAAGGCCCCGCGCGACUUGGUUCGCCGAUGUCCGAUUAGCGAGUUGGUGAGGUAAAGGCUCACCAAGGCGAUGAUCGGUAGCUGGUCUGAGGGGAUGAUCAGCCACACUGGGACUGAGACACGGCCCAGACUCCUACGGGAGGCAGCAGUGGGGAAUUUUGGGCAAUGGGGGCAACCCUGAUCCAGCCAUUCCGCGUGAGUGAAGAAGGCCUUCGGGUUGUAAAGCUCUUUUGUCCGGAGCGAAACGGUGCUGUGAAUAUCCAGCGCUACUGACGGUACCGGAAGAAUAAGCACCGGCUAACUACGUGCCAGCAGCCGCGGUAA